rfam:Perkinsus marinus ATCC 50983 gcontig_1104296113190, whole genome shotgun sequence.
GAUUCUAUGGUGUAGUGGUUAGCACUCUAGACUUUAAAUCCAGCAACUCAGGUUCGAACCUCGUUAGAUAUC